rnacentral:rRNA from 1 species
CAGUAGCCGCGGGAAUACGUAGGGUGCAAGCGUUAAUCGGAAUUACUGGGCGUAAAGCGUGCGCAGGCGGUUUGUUAAGACAGAUGUGAAAUCCCCGGACUCAACCUGGGAACUGCAUUUGUGACUGGCAGGCUAGAGUAUGGCAGAGGGGGGUGGAAUUCCGCGUGUAGCAGUGAAAUGCGUAGAUAUGCGGAGGAACACCGAUGGCGAAGGCAGCCCCCUGGGCCAAUACUGACGCUCAUGCACGAAAGCGUGGGGAGCAAACAGGAUUAGAUACCCCCGUAGUCCCUGUCUCUUAUAC